rnacentral:rRNA from 1 species
GGACGAACGCUGGCGGCGUGCUUAACACAUGCAAGUCGAACGGAAAGGCCCUGCUUUUGUGGGGUGCUCGAGUGGCGAACGGGUGAGUAACACGUGAGUAACCUGCCUUUGACUUUGGGAUAACUUCAGGAAAUUGGGGCUAAUACCGGAUAGGAGCUCCUGCUGCAUGGUGGGGGUUGGAAAGUUUCGGCGGUUGGGGAUGGACUCGCGGCUUAUCAGCUUGUUGGUGGGGUAGUGGCUUACCAAGGCUUUGACGGGUAGCCGGCCUGAGAGGGUGACCGGCCACAUUGGGACUGAGAUACGGCCCAGACUCCUACGGGAGGCAGCAGUGGGGAAUAUUGCACAAUGGGCGGAAGCCUGAUGCAGCAACGCCGCGUGCGGGAUGACGGCCUUCGGGUUGUAAACCGCUUUCGCCUGUGACGAAGCGUGAGUGACGGUAAUGGGUAAAGAAGCACCGGCUAACUACGUG